GCCGUACUUUCCAUUCGCUCUCGAGCUUAGGCAGCCAUGUGAUGAAGUUCUGUUCUUCCCUCACACCUGCUCAUCCUGGGGAUGGAAUAAGAUGCUUUCAGACGACGAUGCCUCGUGCAUCUUCAGCAAACUAGUCUUGGAAGGAUUUCGUGGAUGUGAUUUCUAAUGGAGGAUGUUCGUUUACAUCCAGAUGACCGGUUUUUCAGUGCCAUGGGGAGAGUCCAGGGAGAAUAGGCAGCUGGAGCUCGGAGUCGCCCGCAGGAGGAAGUGGAGGCAGUGCUGCCUCAUGAGGCUGAUGCAACAUGAGGGUCGGCAGACAAAUGAAGGAUGCUAGAGGAAUCAUGGGAAGCAUAUGAUCUGGAUACUUUUAUUUCACAUCAGUGAUGAUGAAAGUAACAUCAACCAUAGUUCACAUAUCAUCAUACGAAGAUGGCUAAGAUGAUUCAAUCAAAGGGUAAAAUAUAUCAUAUAAAUCAAAUUUGCCUAUAUAAAUGUGUGUGUGUGUGUGUGUGUGUGUGUGUGUUUAUAUGUACUAUAUAUGUAUGUAUGUAUGUAUAAAUAUUUAUGACU